GUUAUUGUUUCUUUGGACUAAAAAUGCUCUAUGGGAUGUUAUUCAGUGGACCCUCACCUUUCCAUCCAAUCUGGAACUUUUAGCAGUGGAUGCGUGUGUGGCUCGUUAUUACGACACUACUGGAUCUUCCGAAAAUUAGCGUCAGCGAUGUUCAUCGCAUUGUUGAUGCCUGGUCCCCAGCUCCAAGCAAGAGGGACAAGGGCUUUAAACUCUACAUAUCGAGUUAUCUGCACAACUACAAGGGUAAGUAGUUUAAUCUAAUGUGGUGUGCCGGCAGAUAGCGGCUAAGCUAGUUCGCCACGUGUUAAUUUUUAAUGUAACGUUAGUAUAGAAGCUUGUUUUUUCUUAGUUUUAAAGCAGACUGUUUGUUAAUUUUUGUGAUAAUUGUAAUAUCAAUUGUAUUAACUUGCUCUCCUCUCAGUUUCUAAUAAAGAUCAGGGCACAGGUGAAGUCACUGUCAGGGCAUUGUGCUACAGGUCCAUGAGGAAAACAGAGAAACCUCACAGUUUGAGUGUAUGGUGAAGCUAGAAUUGGUAAGACCGCAGUUAUAGGCUUGUUACUUUAAUAGCCCAGUGUUCCUGGGGACUCGGCUAAGGUUAUUCAUGUUUAAUGUACUCAAAUCAAAUGAAAACCGUUAUUGUAGGCAGGUAAGUUUCCCUAGCUGGUCCCCUCCGGGUAAAAUGCGUUCUUAUUCAAGUUUUCAACUCAGUCAUUCGUUUAAGAUGCAAUCUUGUGUUAUAAGUAUUAGGCUAUCAUGAUUAUACAGUGAGCAAGCUAUAUAAAUAAGUAUUUAAUAUAAUAAAAGUGUAGAGAAACAACCUAGGGUGUAAGGUAAAGGCUGAAUAUUGUAGAUUUAUUAUAAUAUGUUGCAUGUUUGAAUUAAAAUACCUGUGGAUAUGCAACUUCCCACUCAUGAAAGUUUUCUGUUCUACAAAGGAGCACACUCUACAAAGGCCUGACUGGAGAUUUGCCUGAUCUAUCCAUCCUUCAGGUGGAUGUAACAAUAGCAAAUUUCACUGUACAGUAUGAUAUAUCAACCAAAAUCUGUACAGCAAUAUUUCAUUAUUUUCUUUUUCCUCCCCUUUUACAAACAAAUAUUCUGCUUCAAAGAAAAAAAAUGAAAUUGAUGUUAUCAUAAGGGUUCUUCAUUAUGAACUUGUAUGCGAUGCAUAACGUACUGUGGAUAGAAAUUACAGGGAAAGUUACUGGUAUGAUAAUUGUGGUUAUAUUAUAUUACUAUUAUAUUUAGUGUAUUGCUAAUCAAUAUAUUGUUACUUCCCAGGUGACAGCGGCUCACUUAUAGAGCAGGUGAAGCAAGUUGGGACAAUGUUGAAGAUGUUUGCUCGCACUGUGCAAUCAGGUGCAGAUCAGACCCUAAUGCUGCGACGUCUUUGAGAGUUUGGUGAUGUUGUGCGUAGUAUGGACAACAAAAUGGACACUAUGCUGCAACAUUUCAGUGCCAAUGUGUCUGUUGGAGAGUUAUCCCUGCCAGGGGAUCUGUUACUCCCCCUAGACACCCAGGAAGAUUUGGCGUUGCUUGACAACAGUUUGAGGCAGGAUAAAGAGGUCCAGCAAUGAUUUCUUCGGUUUUUGGCAAUCAAAUGUGGGAGGGACCUAAAGACAACCGUGUGGCGAAUGCUUCAGAGUAUCUUCUCUAAUCACCUUUCCAUCAAUACAACCUGGACUGGUGUAGGGGAUAAAGCAUGUUUUAGAGACUUGUUCCUGAAGACCAUUGUUCAAAGAGCCAUCCGGAAGAACCCGGCAACCCAGGAUGCCACUGAUGAAGUGAUCCAGGUUAACGUUACGCAUUACCUGAAAGGAGCAUCUGAACGUGAAGGUGGAAAAGGCGCCGCACAGCUUAGAGGGACCCACAGCCGACCCCUUAAACCUAGGCUGACUACUGACACCCCAGCAUCACUGACAACUGGAACCCUUUCUUUAUCCUGCAGUCAGUAACAUCAAGACCCCUAAAAAAGCCUGCGUUAGACUACACUCACCCAAUCCACACGGUUCACUGUGGAAAUUGCUCUUUGUUUUUUUUGUUUUUUCUCUCAUGACCCUGCCUUGAGGGCAGCUCCUUGGAUGAAUAUGGGAUGGUUUGUCCUUUUAUACAGGCGCACGAGGAAUCACUGAAGAUAUGUCAAUUUGCACUACCUCAUUCUGGAGGUCGGGGAAAACCGGUGAUUCUUAGCCCACUACGCCACACAGACCACAACCACUCCAGACAUUCUGAUUGGCUGUGUUCUCUACAGCCAGACUUUCUGCUGUUAAUUGUAUUUGUUCCCACUUGUUGUCUUGUGUAAGUUGAAUGUCCAAAUUUAUAUUAUACAUGUUAUCCUGCGCAUUCUUUGAUACCAAAGAUCUCAAUCUCAAAAAAUAUACAAUUUGCUGCUUAUUUCACUGUUACAGUGCUUAACUAUUCUAUUUUUAAAUAUAGCUUGUAAAUCCUAGAUUAUACAUCUAAUACUUGAUAUCUGCACAUUAUCUGGUAUCAAAUAUUCUACUUACGUGACUUUAGUAUUGGCUUAUUUCAUUCCGUCAGUGCUUAACGAUUCUAUUAUAGUUUGUAAAUCCUAUUUCAUAACUCUGAUACUUGAUAUUGCACAUUAACUAGUACCAAAAAUUCUACUUUCAUUCCGUCACAGUGCUUAACUGUUAUUCUAUUGUUACAUAUAGCUUGUAAAUCCUUGUGCCACAGGUCAGCAUUGCAGUUAUAAUGGUAUAUUCUACUCCAGAGCUUUACUCUAAAUUAUUACCACUUAUCCUAUUGUUAGAAAUGACUUGUAUAUAUGAUGUUAUACCUCAAUUUAUUUGGUACCAAAUAUCCUCAUUGCUUAUGUUUACUGGUAAUUCUUUUCAUCCCAGAGCUGACCUCUUUAUAUAUAUUUUAUUUUAUUUUUUACCAAAAUUGAAUUGGAAACCUGCAUGUUCUUUAUGUGUGUGUGUGUGUGUGUGUGUGUGUAUAUAUAAAUAAUGUUUGUAUUUUUCUGUUAUUUAUAUUUCAGUGAUCUGAUAUCUUUCAAUGACAGUUACUGACACAACAAUAUUAUAUAUAUAUAUAUAUAUAUAUAUAUAUAUAUAUAUAUAUACACACACACACACACACACACACACACACACAAUAAGCAGAUUGCUCGUAAAUAGCGUUUGCCUCUGACGUCCCGCGGAAGGUCCGCCUUCGAUAUAACGGAUAUAAUUUUAAAAAGCGGCUGCCACCAGCGGUGCGCCGUCAAACGUGUUUGCGAUAACGCCAUUCUGCCGCUUCUACUGCCUCCGGAGCACCGCCAGCGGCCCACCGACUCAUUGCUAUCUGGGAUGCUACACCUAUUACUUUUUAUUAGGAUAUAUUUGCAAUCACAAUUUAAGAAUUCAAGAGACCCAGUGUAGCAGAAUUGCAAUGUAUGUUUACAGCAAUUAACAGCCUACCAAUUGUUUCAUAAAAAAGUAACAUAUCAGUAGCUGGCACUCUGAACUGUAUCACAACAACUUUUUUUUUUUAAUUUGUUUUUUUUUUGCUAAUAUCACAAAAUAGUCACCACAAAGCAAAAUGUGCUUUAAAAUAAAAAGUUUCUUAUUCAGUGCCAAUAUUUUCUGAAGUAGUACUAACUUAAACCCAAAAACAAAAUGCACAAAAAUAUUUUUUGUUUUGUUUAAAUCAGUGGCUUCCUUAAAUCACUAAUAUAUAUUUAGGAGUAAAUGAUGAGAGAAUUUUCAUUUUUGGGUGAACUAUCCCUUUAUAGUGAUUAGCUCAGCCAUAAUUUAAAAUUGUCAUUUCAUUUUCCUUAUGUUAUUCCAAACCCAUGUGGCCUUCUGUAUUCUGUGGAACACAAAAUAUGUUAGACAGAAUGUUAGAGACUGUCAGUCUCAGUCACCAUUCACUUUCAAAAUAUGGAGUAAUAUGGAAUAUGGAGUAAAAAACACAUUCUCUGAAAUGGCUCAAGCUAACAAUCUGUCUAAAAUCUCAUUGUGUCGCAUGGAAGAAAGAAAGUCAUACAGGUUUGGAACAACAUGAUUGUGAAAUGAUGACUGAAUUUCCAUUUAAUAAUAAUUCUGUAAUACAUGUUAAAUGUGUAUUAUGUAAUGGAAUAUAGGGGAGUUAAUGUCCAUUAUGUCAUUUGUUAAAGUAACUUGAGUACAAUAUUAAUUGGAUACUUUCUUACUCAAGUAAUUAUUUAUGUUAGUACUUUUACUUCUACUUCUACUUACUUCUACUUAAGAUAUUGUACUUUUACUUGAGUACAGAUUUGGUGACUCUACCCACCUCUGCACAUUUCCAAGCUUAAUCUGCUUAAUCUGAGAAACGUUUAUAAGAGAGAAAGACACUACAGCCAAAGACCUACACCAACUGUAAGAGGCUAUUCACACCGAAUGCUUUUACAACAUUCCAUUUGUUUUUCUAUGUAAACAUGUGAUAAAUGAAUGUCUUUUGUUUCCUAUUUGUUUUUGUUUAUUCAGUGUCUUGUGCAGUAGCACAGUUUUUUUUUAGAUAUGUGUCUAAUUAAAAAUAACAUUAAAAGCAUAUUGAGACACCUGCUUUCUGUUAAACUGUAUUUGUUGUGCUGUCUCUAGCCUUUUUUAGCACAAG